GCAGAAGGGCCCAGAAUCGGGAUAAGCUGAAUUGGAAAAUCCAGCAAUAGGAAGAAGAGAUGGCUGCUGCUGUUCCUGGAUCUAGAAAGGAGAGAAGCUACUCAGGGAGCUCUUGAUCCUAUGCUCAGGGGGAAACAUACCAGGAAAUUACAGGAAACAAAAAAGAAAAUUGAGUGGAGGAGAAGGAAUAGCAAAAUGGAGACAGCAGCAGAAGAUAGAGAGAGGUGGACGAGAGAAAACCCUCAAGAUAAAGAGACCAGGGCACAGAAAGGGAAGAAGAGGCAAAGAGACAAAUACAUGAGGAAACAUGGCAGGCUUGGAGGACUUUGAAUAUAUCAUCUCAUUCCUUCCUGGCCCACAAGGUU
rnacentral:lncRNA from 10 species